rnacentral:rRNA from 1 species
UACAGAGGGUGCGAGCGUUAAUCGGAAUACUGGGCGUAAAGCGUGCGCAGACGGUCACGUAAGUCGGGUGUGAAAGCCCCGGGCUCAACCUGGGAAUUGCAUUCGAGACUGCGUGGCUAGGGUGCGGAAGAGGGAAGCGGAAUUUCCGGUGUAGCGGUGAAAUGCGUAGAUAUCGGAAGGAACACCAGUGGCGAAAGCGGCUUCCUGGUCCAGCACCGACGUUCAGGCAC